GUUUUGUUCAAACAAAUCUGAUCAGUCAAAUCAUCAGCCAACAGUAAAAUUGGAGCGUACUGUGUACAGAGAAGAGACAAGUGGAGACUGCAUGAGGUCUGCAGAUACAUGGUUACUGCUUUGUGUGGUCUGGAGUGAGUUACCUCUGCAUCCAUCUCUGUUGCUGUAUCAGCAAGAACAAGCCACGAUGUUAUAACUUGCGCUGGAGACUUUGUGUCUGAGAAUAAGAAAGCACCUUUAAAUACUCCCUGCCUCUAGUAAGCUGAAUGCUCCUGGUUUCCAGCUCUGCAGUGCAUGUAGGCACUUGGCCAGCAGGAUCCGAGCUGGGCCUACGAGCGGGAAGCAUCUCUGUGGUGUCUCUAGCAAGCUCCUGACCCUCUACAGCAGGGCAAACGCUUCAAAGGCACGCUGCCAGACUCAGUGUAUUGCUGUUUGCAAUGAGGUUGCAGAGUUGAAGGCAGUCUUCCCUGACCGUGCUGUUCACCUGUUGUAAGAUAUGGAGCUAUUUGUUUCUGAAAGCCUGAGCAGACCCCAAAUGAGCGUACUAAAGUCAGUUUAACCUUCAGAAAGAGUCAAAAGAGAUUCAUGGAGAUUGCCGAUGGCAUUAUUCCCGAGGAAGACUGGAGAGAGAAAAGAAAACUCUAAAUUACCCAUGUAAACAGCUCAUUCAGAAAUGGAUGCGCAACACCAACCCCCAAUACAUUGUUUUCCAGUACAUGAGCAGAAGCUUUUGGCUGCUGCAGGAGAGUUCCCCUCUGUCUCAUAUUAAGCUGCUGUAAAGUAUUUGCCAGUGCUUUGAUGUUCUUCCACCCAAAGAGAAUUAAUCGCCAAGAUGGAAUGAAGAGCACAGCACAGCGAGAAGGCAUGGUGCAGAUCUCUCGGGACUAAUUAUGCUCUUAAAGGAGAUAGCCGUAUUCCUCUGGGAAAGAUGAGGCACUACCUGCUGCUCAGGUCACACCCUCUGCACUGGCUGCAGGCACUACAGGAAACGUGCGGUGACAGAGCAGUAACCCGGCUGUCUGUCUCCCGGGAGGACUGUCAAGCAUCUGCAUCUCCUCGACUGCUGCUGAUGUGGUAGUAACCUGUCCCACAGACACUAACGAGAUGUCCACAUCCUCAGCUGACCUGGAGAAACACUUCCAAACUGAAGAGGCCGUACAUCCCACUUUCUGGUGAGACCCAUGCAAGGCAGCUAUGAACUGUGAAAAAUUCUUCACAGAAAACCAUCUUUCUGAGAAGAAGAGAGAAAAUAGCCUUCUCGGAUGGGAAAGGGAGGUGUCUUUUUGUCCAUCAUGCUGCAAACCAGCGGGCAGAGGUAAAGCUCAGAAGCUUGAGCACAACACUGGGUCCUCGCCCAUGCCCGUCUGACUCUUCCCAGGCAAGUCUGGGAUGUAUGGUGGUCCUUAGUCCUAUUCUCCUUCCUGCCCUGCUUUCUGUAGAAGAAGGGGCAGGGAUUUUGAGUCUUUCAGCAGCAAAGCUACUGCGAGGGGAACCACUCCUAUCCUGUCAAGAAGUGCCAGUCAGAAGAAAUACUAAGAACAACAGAGAUAAGGAUUUUCAGACGCACAAAUGAAAAUACAUCAUCACAACACUGAAUGAAGAGUCAAGGAAAGUACUGAUGAUAAGAAGCUGGAUACACUGAAGAUAUUCAAGACUGAUGGACCAGAACCUCUUGCAUCCAUACCUGUGACAAAUGAAAAAGGACUCAAUUCCUGCAAAUACAUGCUGUGACAACUGCUGAGUGUCAACUGCAAAUUUAGUAAUGACUCACUACAAUAAGGCAGCGACACAUCUCUCUGUAUCCCAGCGGAUAUAAAGGAGGAUCUGAUAUUGGCUGGGGACCCUGUGUAAGCACAUUAAAAAGACACGGCGAUUCAGCU